GAUGAACGCUAGCUACAGGCUUAACACAUGCAAGUCGCGGGGCAGCAUGGGGGUUGCUUGCAAUCCCCGAUGGCGACCGGCGCACGGGUGAGUAACGCGUAUCCAACCUGCCCUUCACCACGGGAUAACCCGGCGAAAGUCGGACUAAUACCGUAUGUUGUCCAUUGACGGCAUCCGAUUUGGACGAAAGGUUUGGCGGUGAAGGAUGGGGAUGCGUCCGAUUAGCUGGACGGCGGGGUGACGGCCCACCGUGGCGACGAUCGGUAGGGGUUCUGAGAGGAAGGUCCCCCACACUGGAACUGAGACACGGUCCAGACUCCUACGGGAGGCAGCAGUGAGGAAGAGUGGUCAAUGGGCGUAAGCCUGAACCAGCCAAGUAGCGUGCAGGAGGACGGCCCUAUGGGUUGUAAACUGCUUUUAUGCGGGGAUAAAGUGGCCCACGUGUGGGUUUUUGCAGGUACCGCAUGAAUAAGGACCGGCUAAUUCCGUG
rnacentral:rRNA from 1 species